ACACCACCUGUGCACCACGUCUGUGAGCAGCUUCUCUCCUGGAAGAGCUCCUCCUGCACUCCCAGGAGAGGUGCUGCUGCAUUUUGAAAACAAAAGAUCAGGAGGCAAAGUCACCACCCACAAGCAGAAUUUGCAGCUCUGCAGCCAUCGGGGACUGGUGCAAAUGGGCCUGAUGCAGAUGCCAGAGAACAUACUGCCAAGUGACACCAGGGAACAGCAAGAACUGAAAGUAUAACCUAAUCUAGGGUGAGAACAAUAUCUACUUUUGCAUAUUUAGCAGGGAUAGCCUUGGGCCAUGAACUGAGGCUUAACUUUGCCCACAUCAUAAUAUACCUUUCAUAUUUUUGUAAUCAGCAGUUUGGGUCAAUCUAUUGUACAAACCAUGUAAUGUCUGCAAAAUAAGGUGGUGGAUGCACCUCCAGUUUGAUGCCCCUCAGUAGAC
rnacentral:lncRNA from 1 species